rnacentral:rRNA from 1 species
UAGCGAAGGGGCUAGCGUUGCUCGGAAUUAGCUGGGCGUAAAGCGCACGUUAGGCGGAUUGUUAAGUCGGGGGUGAAAUCCUGGAGCUCAACUCCAGAACUGCCUCGAUACUGGGCGAUCUCGAGUUCGGGAGAGGUGAGUGGAACUCCGAGUGUAGAGGUGAAAUUCGUAGAUAUUCGGAAGGAACACCCAGGUGGCGAAGGCGG